GUGAAUUAAACAUGCUUGGUGUCUUCGCUUCGGCAAGGCCCUUGCUUAAAUCACAUCCUAACACCUGUUGAACUGUAAGACGUAUGAUGAGGUCUUUGGCCAAGUCAUCGUCUGCCCAUUUUUAACAAACAAUUAAUGUAACAAACGUAGUCUUAUUAUAACCUAAUAA
rnacentral:misc_RNA from 1 species